rnacentral:rRNA from 1 species
CAGUCGCCGCGGGAAAACGGAGGGUGCAAGCGUUAAUCGGAAUUACUGGGCGUAAAGCGCACGCAGGCGGUCUGACAAGUCUGCUGUGAAAUCCCCGGGCUCAACCUGGGAAUGGCAGUGGAUACUGGCAAGCUAGAGUGUGUCAGAGGAUGGUGGAAUUCCCGGUGUAGCGGUGAAAUGCGUAGAGAUCGGGAGGAACAUCAGUGGCGAAGGCGGCCAUCUGGGACAACACUGACGCUGAGGCACGAAAGCGUGGGGAGCAAACAGGAUUAGAUACCCCAGUAGUCCCUGUCUCUUAUAC